rnacentral:rRNA from 1 species
CCUACGGGAGGCAGCAGUGGGGAAUAUUGCGCAAUGGGGGAAACCCUGACGCAGCAACGCCGCGUGAGUGAGGAAGGACUUCGGUCUGUAAAGCUCUGUUAAUGUGGAAAAAUGGUAGUUGGUCUAAUAGGCCGAUUAUUUGAUGGUACACAUAGAGGAAGCACCGGCUAACUUCGUGCCAGCAGCCGCGGUAAUACGAAGGGUGCAAGCGUUGUUCGGAUUUAUUGGGCGUAAAGCGCGCGUAGGCGGACCUGUAAGUCAGAUGUGAAAUCUCGGGGCUCAACCUCGAAACUGCGUCUGAAACUGCAGGUCUAGAAUCUCGGAGGGGGAAGGGGAAUUUCGCAUGUAGGGGUAAAAUCCGUAGAUAUGCGAAGGAACACCAGAGGCGAAGGCGCCUUCCUGGACGAGUAUUGACGCUGAGGCGCGAAAGCGUGGGGAUCAAACAGGAUUAGAUACCCUGGUAGUCCACGCUGUAAACUAUGAACACUAGGUAUUGGAGGAUUUGACCCCUUCAGUGCCGUAGCUAACGCGUUAAGUGUUCCGCCUGGGAAGUACGGUCGCAAGACUAAAACUCAAANAGAUAGAGCGNGAGAGNGCGAGACGACGACGAGGAGAGG